rnacentral:rRNA from 1 species
UACGGAGGGAGCUAGCGUUGUUCGGAAUUACUGGGCGUAAAGCGCUCGUAGGCGGAUUGAUAAGUUAGGGGUGAAAUCCCGGGGCUCAACCUCGGAACUGCCUCUGAUACUGUUAGUCUCGAGUCCGAUAGAGGUGAGUGGAAUUCCUAGUGUAGAGGUGAAAUUCGUAGAUAUUAGGAAGAACACCAGUGGCGAAGGCGGCUCACUGGAUCGGUACUGACGCUGAGGAGCGAAAGCGUGGGGAGCAAACAGG